rnacentral:rRNA from 1 species
GACGAACGCUGGCGGCGUGCUUAAUACAUGCAAGUCGAGCGGUAAGGCCCUUUCGGGGGUACGACGAGCGGCGAACGGGUGAGUAACACGUGGGUGACCCGCCCUCAGCUCUGGGAUAAGCCUGGGAAACUGGGUCUAAUACCGGAUAUGACCCCAUGACGCAUGUCGUGGGGUGGAAAGCCUUGUGCGGCUGAGGAUGGGCCCGCGGCCUAUCAGCUUGUUGGUGGGGUGAUGGCCACCAAGGCGACGACGGGUAGCCGGCCUGAGAGGGCGACCGGCC